rnacentral:rRNA from 1 species
UGAAUAUGGGGGGACCAUCCUCCAAGGCUAAAUACUCCUGACUGACCGAUAGUGAACCAGUACCGUGAGGGAAAGGCGAAAAGAACCCCUGUGAGGGGAGUGAAAUAGAACCUGAAACCGUGUACGUACAAGCAGUAGGAGCACCUUCGUGGUGUGACUGCGUACCUUUUGUAUAAUGGGUCAGCGACUUAUAUUCAGUGGCAAGGUUAACCGUAUAGGGGAGCCGUAGCGAAAGCGAGUCUUAACUGGGCGCUCAGUCUCUGGAUAUAGACCCGAAACCGGGUGAUCUAGCCAUGGGCAGGUUGAAGGUUGAGUAACAUCAACUGGAGGACCGAACCGACUAAUGUUGAAAAAUUAGCGGAUGACUUGUGGCUAGGGGUGAAAGGCCAAUCAAACUCGGAGAUAGCUGGUUCUCCCCGAAAGCUAUUUAGGUAGCGCCUCGGACGAAUACUACUGGGGGUAGAGCACUGUUAAGGCUAGGGGGUCAUCCCGACUUACCAACCCUUUGCAAACUCCGAAUACCAGUAAGUACUAUCCGGGAGACACACGGCGGGUGCUAACGUCCGUCGUGG